AAAAUACUUCCUCCGUUUCGAAUUACUUGUCGCACGUAUGGAUGUAUCUAAAUGUAUUUUAGUUCUAUAUACAUCUAUUUCAGCGACGAGUAAUUUGAAACGGAGGAAGUAAUAA
rnacentral:pre_miRNA from 1 species